CAACUUGCAAAGUAGAUAUUUCAUUUAAGGGAGGAAACACUACGAAUAUGCAAAAGCAUUUGCUCACAAAACACGCGAUGACACGCGUUUUUAAUUCCGCUCCGGACUCGUGACUCUCAACCCAGCAGCAGCGCUAACGUUUGCACGUCCUCUCCCGUUAAUGCGGCAGGUGACCAUGAUGAGAGAGACAGACAGAGUCUGGCUGGCGCUCGCUGGUAGUUCUCGCUGCAGUCUACCGGUAGCGUCUCCUUUCAGGCCAGGAUAGACUAAUGUCACCGAGCAGUGUCUAAGUUUGUGGUCAAAGGCUUGCACCCAUUUGCCACAGCAGAUGCCCCCGAUUUUUGUUUCACAGGGAUCCUACCCUCACUAAGUAUAUCCUCAAAAGCAGCUGAUACAACAGUCCCUGUGUCAUGGUCCCUGUGCCUCCCCGGCCAGCCCAGUGUGGCCACAAGUGUUUGUUGUUUUUCUCUCACUCUGUCUCUCCUACCUGUCUGCCUGGGCGGAGCUCUGAUUGGGCUCCUGCCCUUGGCCCACGCACCUGCAGCUGAUCUCGAGCGGAUUGCAGUUCUCUGGCUCUUAAGGCUGGGGCUCUGAGCUGUUCGUCGCUGGAAUAUUGAGUAACUCUCGUUUACCUGGAUCAGCCCUUUUGUGACCCCUGGACCCCGUGAGUAGGAGAGUGAGCUGAGCUGCUUGUGUGGAGACUGUUUGGACGAGGAGCAGAGCGAGUGCGAAGAAGUGUGUCUCCCCAGCCAAGUGAUCCCCGGGACCCUGGUGUUUCCCCCCCCUUCACGUGUAUAUAGUGCACCAGUGUGAUUAAUAAAGUGUUGUUGAACUGUGCUACCUCAGUCUGCGCCUGAGUCCGUUCCACUCCCGUGACACCCUGUCUUGUUUGUUAGACAUCUAACCCAUGCGUAUUUUGAGAAUACAUCUAUACAUGUUAGCAGAUAUCUCACAUUAUCAUUAUCUGCCACAUAUUCACACA
ensembl:lncRNA